rnacentral:rRNA from 1 species
AUUGAACGCUGGCGGCAUGCUUUACACAUGCAAGUCGAACGGCAGCACGGGAGUAAUUCUGGUGGCGAGUGGCGAACGGGUGAGUAAUAUAUCGGAACGUGCCUAAUUGUGGGGGAUAGCUCGGCGAAAGCCGGAUUAAUACCGCGUAAGAUCUAAGGAUGAAAGCAGGGGACCUUCGGGCCUUGCGCAAUUAGAGCGGCCGAUAUCAGAUUAGGUUGUUGGUGGGGUAAAGGCCUACCAAGCCUGCGAUCUGUAGCUGGUCUGAGAGGACGAUCAGCCACACUGGGACUGAGACACGGCCCAGACUCCUACGGGAGGCAGCAGUGGGGAAUUUUGGACAAUGGGCGCAAGCCUGAUCCAGCAAUGCCGCGUGCAGGAUGAAGGCCUUCGGGUUGUAAACUGCUUUUGUACGGAACGAAAAGUUCAUUGAUAAUACCAGUGAAUGAUGACGG